ensembl:lncRNA
CUCCCCCGCCUUACCGGCCUCCAUGAUGAACCGCGCCCCCCGGAAGUGGCGGCGCGCCUCGGCCCCGCCCCUCUCCUCCGCCAUUCGGUGACGUCACGAGCCGCGGCCUACGGCGCCGGGACGGGGCUCUGUAACGCCGCGCAGCGCGCUUCUGACGUCAUUCCGCCCGCUCGAUCGUCAUUUCCGGUGCGCGCGCCCCAUGGCGUCGCGCGCUGAUGACGUCACGCCCCGCCCCGCCUCACCCCCGCGCUCCCGUUCGCGCCGGCGGCUCCGGCGCCGCUCCGACGCGCGCUUCCGGUGUGGGCGGAGCCUCGUGCGCAGCCGCAGUCUCUCCCCGCGCUCCUAUUGGUCCGCCGCGCCGGAAGGGGCGGGGGGCCCGGCGUCACGUGGCGUCGCGGCGCGGGAACGGCGCGCCGAGCUGCCGGGCGCUCUGACCUCUGACCCCUCGCUGACCUCUGACCCCGCGCUAUGAGGCGGUCGGACGACGAGGAGGAAGAGCCGCAGCCCACAGCGCCCCCGAGCGGCUGGGAGGAGCAGCUGAGCGACAGUUGCAGGCAGACCCACCUCCUCCUCUCGCUGCUGCUGGACGACCCCCGCGGCGCCGCCGCCUUACGGACCCCCCCCCAGCCCCCCCCGCCCCCCCGGGACCUCCUGGAGCUGCCCCUCCCCCCGCGGAGGUGGGUGCGGGACCCCCGGAUGGGGCUGCGCUAUGGGGCGGUGCUAUGGGGCGGUGCUAUGGGGCAGUGCUAUGGGGCGGUGCUAUGGGGCGGUGCUAUGGGGUGGUGCUAUGGGGCGGUGUUAUGGGACAGUGCUAUGGGGUUGUUCUAUGGGGCUGCGCUAUGGGGCGGUGCUAUGGGGCGGUGUUAUGGGGCAGUGCUAUGGGGUUGUUCUAUGGGGCCGUGCUAUGGGGUGGUGCU